rnacentral:rRNA from 1 species
AACACAUGCAAGUCGAACGGCUCUUCGGAGCAGUGGCGGACGGGUGAGUAACGCGUGGGAACGUGCCCUUUGGGUUCGGAACAACACAGGGAAACUUGUGCUAAUACCGGAUGAGCCCUUCGGGGGAAAGAUUUAUCGCCAUUGGAGCGGCCCGCGUUGGAUUAGGUAGUUGGUGGGGUAAAGGCCCACCAAGCCGACGAUCCAUAGCUGGUCUGAGAGGAUGAUCAGCCACACUGGGACUGAGACACGGCCCAGACUCCUACGGGAGGCAGCAGUGGGGAAUCUUGCGCAAUGGGCGAAAGCCUGACGCAGCCAUGCCGCGUGAAUGAUGAAGGUCUUAGGAUUGUAAAAUUCUUUCACCGGGGAAGAUAAUGACGGUACCCGGAGAAGAAGCCCCGGCUAACUUCGUGCCAGCAGCCGCGGUAAUACGAAGGGGGCUAGCGUUGCUCGGAAUUACUGGGCGUAAAGGGCGCGUAGGCGGACAGUUUAGUCAGAGGUAAAAGCCCAGGGCUCAACCUUGGAACUGCCUUUGAUACUGGCUGUCUUGAGUUCGGGAGAGGUGAGUGGAAUGCCGAGUGUAGAGGUGAAAUUCGUAGAUAUUCGGCGGAACACCAGUGGCGAAGGCGACUCACUGGCCCGAUACUGACGCUGAGGCGCGAAAGCGUGGGGAGCAAACAGGAUUAG